rnacentral:SRP_RNA from 2 species
GCCAGGUGUGGUGGCGCAUGCCUGUAGUCCCAGCUACUCGGGAGUCCGAGGCAGUAGGAUUGCUUGAGCCCAGGAGUUUGAGGCUGCAGUGAGCCAUGAUUGCGCCACUGCACUCCAGCCUGGGCAACAGAGCAAGACCCUGUCUCUA